rnacentral:rRNA from 1 species
UACAGAGGUCUCAAGCGUUGUUCGGAAUCAUUGGGCGUAAAGAGCGUGUAGGCGGCCCGGUAAGUCCGCUGUAAAAGUCAAAGGCUCAACCUUUGAAUGUCAGUGGAUACUGCCGGGCUAGAGUCCGGAAGAGGCGAGUGGAACUCCUGGUGUAGCGGUGGAAUGCGCAGAUAUCAGGAAGAACACCAACGGCGAAGGCAGCUCGCUGGGACGGUACUGACGCUGAGACGCGAAAGCGUGGGGAGCGAACAGG